UACAGAGGGUGCGAGCGUUGUCCGGAAUCACUGGGCGUAAAGGGCGCGUAGGCGGCCUGGUAAGUAGGGGGUGAAAUCUUGCGGCUCAACUUGCAAGGCUGCCUCCUAAACUGCCGGGCUGGAGCACGGUAGAGGCAGAUGGAAUUCCCGGUGUAGCGGUGGAAUGCGUAGAGAUCGGGAAGAACAUCGGUGGCGAAGGCGGUCUGCUGGGCCGUUGCUGACGCUGAGGCGCGACAGCGUGGGGAGC
rnacentral:rRNA from 1 species